GUCUGAAUGUGAAAGCCCCCGGCUCAACCGGGGAGGGUCAUUGGAAACUGGGGAACUUGAGUGCAGAAGAGGAGAGUGGAAUUCCACGUGUAGCGGUGAAAUGCGUAGAGAUGUGGAGGAACACCAGUGGCGAAGGCGACUCUCUGGUCUGUAACUGACGCUGAGGAGCGAAAGCGUGGGGAGCGAACAGGAUUAGAUACCCUGGUAGUCCACGCCGUAAACGAUGAGUGCUAAGUGUUAGGGGGUUUCCGCCCCUUAGUGCUGCAGCUAACGCAUUAAGCACUCCGCCUGGGGAGUACGGUCGCAAGACUGAAACUCAAAGGAAUUGACGGGGGCCCGCACAAGCGGUGGAGCAUGUGGUUUAAUUCGAAGCAACGCGAAGAACCUUACCAGGUCUUGACGUGCUCUGACAAUCCUAGAGAUAGGACGUCCCCUUCGGGGGCAGAGUGACAGGUGGUGCAUGGUUGUCGUCAGCUCGUGUCGUGAGAUGUUGGGUUAAGUCCCGCAACGAGCGCAACCCUUGAUCUUAGUUGCCAGCAUUCAGUUGGGCACUCUAAGGUGACUGCCGGUGACAAACCGGAGGAAGGUGGGGAUGACGUCAAAUCAUCAUGCCCCUUAUGACCUGGGCUACACACGUGCU
rnacentral:rRNA from 1 species